rnacentral:lncRNA from 1 species
UUUUUUUUUUUUUUUUUGGUGAUUUUCUAAAUUCUUCCCUGGCAGAUUUUUUCAUUUUUUCACAUCUAGCUGUUUGCUGAAUCCACAUAUAUCUGCAUGCACAGUUAAUCUAGUGUAAUUAUUAGGCAUAGAAUUGUUAGCUAGGAUAGUCUUCCUACCCUGAAAACAUAGUGUCUAUGUCUAUGUCACAGAUCUGUCACUGUUACCAUGCCUCUUACCUAAUUAGAAUGACAGGCUGCCCUAAGUCUUUUUGGGGUGCCCCAGUUUGGUUGCUUCUACAGUGUCCAGAAACUGUUGAAAGGCAAAGAACAUCAACAUCAAUCCAGGAAUGUGCAGACAGUGUCUUGUCAUCAAGCCAAGGUUCUUAUAAACACAACCCAAUGCUCCUAGAAACAGUUCAUGGAGCUUGAAAGAUUGUUCAGUGAUUAAGAGCAUAUGCUACUCGUACAAAUGACUCAUGACUCAUAUUUGGCUACCAGCAUCCAUAGGAGGCAAGUCACAAGACCUGUAACUCCAGUUGUCAGGAGCCUCAUGACACCUCUGGUCUUCAUGAGAGCCUACACUCAUACAAACAAACCCACAUACCAAAAACCAUAUGCACACAUAAUGGCAAAUAGUAAAAAUAUAUCUUUAUUUAAACGAACAGUUCACUACACUCUAAAGAGUCGUGAAAAUUUUAAACCAUACUACACACAUAAGGGAAAAUGUAGCCAUUCUUCAAAUAGCUGCUCUCUUGAUAGUAAUAGCAGCACACUGAUGUCAUCUGUUUCUAUAUAUUCAGUGCUUUGGAGUUGUCUAAGUGCUUUAAAGCAUAUUGUCUCACAACAGUGUCUACUUAUACCCAACCCAUCCUUGUUCUCAGUAAUUAAACUUAAAUAUUAUAGAGCGUAACAACUCAAGCUCCAUACUAGCUUAUUAUUUUUUUGAAAAUCUACUAAGUACAGAACUAUAUUCUCUUUUUUAUCAUGUAUCAUUUCAAACACAGAACUAUGUUAUUGUUUUCAUUUGUAAAUCUAAUAAGCAGAGCUCAAGAUGUUGGCUAGCCUCUCAAGACUCCUGGGAGAGGUGGGAAUUGAACGAAUGUUAGCCCUCUGAACUUGUACAGCAUGUCCUGUGUACUUCCUAUACUCAUACCCUGCAUCAGCCUGUGAGACUAAUUCUGCAAGCUCUUUGACAGAAACGAGGCUGUGUUGACAAGAGGGCCACACAGCAACUGCUGGGCUGUGAUGUGUUUUAUCUUGGAAAAGAUAAUGAAUACGUAAUGAUUGCCUGGUGAAUUCUACUACUGCCCAUCCUGGGAGCUGGCAGUAACAGCUGAUUCACUUUAUGAAACCAGGUCAGGUUGC